UACGUAGGUGGCAAGCGUUGUCCGGAUUUACUGGGCGUAAAGAGCGCGCAGGCGGUCGAUCAAGUCGCGUGUGAAAGCCCCCGGCUCAACUGGGGAGGGUCACGCGAUACUGAUCGACUCGAAGGCAGGAGAGGGUAGUGGAAUUCCCGGUGUAGUGGUGAAAUGCGCAGAUAUCGGGAGGAACACCAGUGGCGAAGGCGACUACCUGGCCUGUUCUUGACGCUGAGGCGCGAAAGCUAGGGGAGCAAACGGG
rnacentral:rRNA from 1 species